CGUUUUGCGCCUUAAAAUCUCGGUUUGCCUCGUAUUGCAGUCAUAUUAAAUUAUGUUUAUCUAAAUAUUGAUUCAUCAAGACAUGUAUAGGUCAGUUUUCUGACCUGUUCGGCAAUUGCAAGUUACAUGUAGUACUGGAAACACAAAAAUACAUGAUAUGCACCUGUUUAAUUAAAAAAAAAAACACAAUAAUAAAUGUUUUUAGAUACUUUAUAUGAACAUUCUUAGGAAUACAUGCAUUAAAUGUUGUUUGUAAUUUACCUGACAUGACAUAAUUGAAUAUUGUACAACUAAUAAUACGGUUUAAUAUUGUUUUAAAACCAUCGAUGUGCUAUUUCAUAUUGUUAAUGAGAGUUUAAUUUACUUUUAUAAAAUUUUGUAAGUGGAUCUAAGUGUUGUACUGGAUUUUUUCUGGAAUGAGACGAUUGGGGACUGUACAGCUUGCAAAAAUGGAUUUUUCGGGGUUAACUGUACAAAGUGCCCUGAAAUGUAUUUCGGACCAGUCUGUGGAUUUAAGUGCAAUUGCUCCGUUGACCAAUGUCACCACGUUACUGGAUGUCAACAGUCUCCUUUAGGAGACCAGUCGAAAACAACCUUGUUACUGGCGCACGAUGUCCCGGUGUCAAAAGAUAAAUCCACACCAUCUAAAGUAUUAAAUGAACUACCAACAAACAACAUUACCAAUUUAUUACCAACAGAUCGUCACAUAUAUACACGGAAGGAAACAAAACGCUCUGGUAAUUCAUCAUAUUGGUCUGGCAUGUACGAUGCUUCAAUUUUUCUAGCGAUUGUUGCAGCUGUUCUGUUUGCGUUAUAUUUGGUUUUGACGUUAUAUAGUAAA